GACGAACGCUGGCGGCGUGCCUAAUACAUGCAAGUAGAACGCUGAAGGAGGAGCUUGCUUCUCUGGAUGAGUUGCGAACGGGUGAGUAACGCGUAGGUAACCUGCCUGUUAGCGGGGGAUAACUAUUGGAAACGAUAGCUAAUACCGCAUAAUAGUAGAUGUUGCAUGACAUUUGCUUAAAAGGUACAAUUUCAUCACUACCAGAUGGACCUUCGUUGUAUUAUCUAGUUGGUGGUGUAACGGCUCACCAAGGCGACGAUACAUAGCCGACCUGAGAGGGGGAUCGGCCAAACUGGGAAUGAGAACAGGCCCAGAAUCCUAAGGGAGGCAGCAGUAGGGAAUCUUCGGGAAUGGACGGAAGUCUGACCGAGGAAAGCCGCGUGAGUGAAGAAGGGUUUCGGAUCGUAAAGCUCUGUUGUAUGGGAAGAAAGAGUGUGAGAGUGGACAGUUCACACUGUGACGGUAUCUUAUCAGAAAGAGACGGCUAACUACGUG
rnacentral:rRNA from 1 species